AACCUGCUGAGGAGUUCCACAAUAGAACGAAACGGCUGUCCAGUGC
rnacentral:hammerhead_ribozyme from 1 species